CUUCUCUCUAUAUCUCUCUUAUCUGCAUAUUCUCUUUUCAAGUUUGUGUUCUCUCUUCAGUGAGGAGAUCGGGGAGAGAGGGAUUAAGCGAGGGGUUGCCAGACGACUUUGGUGCGCCUCUCAAUGACUGAUCACAGCGACGGAUAUGGGCGACUUUCAGGUGGCUGGGCAGGACUACCCUGGGUGACCUUGCUCGUUAUAAAUGAUUAUAUGGGGAGGGUGACUCCAAAAGCACAGAGUAUACGGCAGCGUCAAGGUACAACUUGUAAGCUGCAUCUCUUUGGCCAUCAAGUGGGAAUCCCCAUUAUCAGCUUGCUAUCUUGGCUUCAUAUUCGGGGAUGAGCUGGUGGCUGUGUAUCGAUAUUUUCGAAGUCUGGCAGUAGAUAGUCCAUCUUCAACCAUGAGUUGGCCAGGAUUUUGAAAUUAACGACACAAGAUAUUGAUGGGCACUAGGAGCAGGAGUGAUUAUCGCGUUGCAGACCAGCUGGCGUCUGAGGAGAAGAUACAGUAGGAUCCCAAGAUCUUGAUGAUCAUUUUGUGUGCUCUUGAUUGAAAUCGUACGAUCAUUGUUCACGAAUGUGGCCAGACUUGUAUAGUAUCCUCAUGUUUCUUCACUGCAGCAUUACAUAUAGGGAGAUGUUUUUCUUGGGUUGCGAGCAAACUAGCUGGCCAUUAAAGCAUGGUAUAUCUACGAGACACAACAACACUACCAAUGUGGUUUUUUUUUGUUUUUUUUCUUCGAGACCACCCUUAUCAACACUUACAUGAACCUGCUCUAUCUAAUAGCCAAGAAAGCAGUACGGAAC